rnacentral:misc_RNA from 1 species
GCGAUAAGUAGUGUGAAUUGCAGAAUUCAGUGAAUCAUCGAAUCUUUGAACGCACAUUGCGCCCUUUGGUAUUCCAAAGGGCAUGCCUGUUCGAGCGUCAUUUGUACCCUCAAGCUUUGCUUGGUGUUGGGCGUCUUGUCUCCAGUUCGCUGGAGACUCGCCUUAAAGUAAUUGGCAGCCGGCCUACUGGUUUCGGAGCGCAGCACAAGUCGCGCUCUCUUCCAGCCAAGGUCAGCAUCCACAAAGCCUUUUUUCAACUUUUGACCUCGGAUCAGGUAGGGAUACCCGCUGAACUUAAGC